AACAGAAAAGGACAGGACGACGUCUCAAAAUCAGCUGAGCUUCAGACGUCGUCCUGUCAUUUUCUGUUC
rnacentral:pre_miRNA from 1 species